rnacentral:misc_RNA from 1 species
AAAGCGAGAGGCUAGCUUCUCUUCACUGGGUGCACAUACCGUAUUUUAGCCAUCGCAUGUCCAAGGGUGCCGCUGUGCUGGUGCUGGACAUCACUCUCCCCCGCGCUGCGGCGCUGGCGGAGGCGUGUGACCUGUGCGACAGAAUCCUCGCGGACAAGAUGAUAUACGCGCCAUCGGACGAGGUGGCUGUCAUUCUUGCCGGCACUGAGAAGUCUCGCAGCGCUCUGUACGAACGGUCUGAGCAGGCGCGCUACAACCACAUCACUGUGGCUGCCGAUCUCGGACCGGCAACGACGCUGACCCUCGCACCCAUUGCUGCUACUCGCGCCGGUGUUGCUGUGCUGCCUGACGGCGCGACUGUGCGGCGAUCUAUCGCGGAGGCGUACGACUUCAUCGACGCCCUUCAGGUGGCGGUGGCGGUGCUGCAAGUGCGCACGAGCCAAAAGCGGUACAAUCGCUGCAUUUACUUCCUCACCGACGCCCGCCACGAGGUGCGGCACAAGGAGGAUCUGCUUUCCCUCAUCGGUGCCUUGCAGCGCGACCAGGUGGCGUUGGUGGUGAUCGGGUUUGAUUUUCAGGCACUGCCAGCACCCACGGAUUCACAGGGGAAGUUCAACGAAUUCACCGCAGGUGAAGCUAGUGCGUGGGCUGCGCUCGAUAGGAAGGCACAAAACGAGAUAAUACUCGCGGCGCUGUGCACCGAGCUGGGGUCGCCGAGCACACUCGUCAGCCCCGCAGAGGCGCUGGCGAGUCUCUCGUUGCCGCGCUGUCGAAGGAUCCGCCAGCAGCCCGUGCUCAAGGUUGCGCUUCGCAUUGGUGACGUGCGGCUUGCCACGCAGCUGUUCACUCUCACGCAGGAAGAGCGGCUGCCCUCGCUGCGGCGGAGCACCCAGGAAGGCGUAGACGUGGUGCAGACCAUCGAGUACGUCGCCGUCGGCGGCGUGGAAGAGCAGCCGUGUGCCUUGGCGAAGGAGGAGCGGGUGGAGGCGUUCUUCUUGGGCGCCGACCGCAUCUCAUGCAGCGAGGCCGAUCGAGAAACGAUGAGAGUAAAGGGCCCGCGCGCGCUGGAAGCGAUCGGGUUCGUUGGAGAGGCCGAGGUGGAGCCGUACCUGUUGAUGGGCGGCACACGCGCGCUGCUGCCACUGGCGGGCGACCAUGCCGGACAGCGCGGCUUCAACGCCUUGGUGGACGCGAUGGCAUCCAGUCGUAAGGCGAUGCUGGUGCGGCUCGUGCGCACGACAGAUGCUGCUCCGUCGUUAUGCGUAUGCUUUGCGCGGACGGCGGGGUCGUCUGCGGAGCAGCGCCACUUGGUGCUGGCUCCUCUCCCGUUUGCCGAGGACGUGCGAGCCCUUCGCUUCUCCGAGUACCCGGAGCUGCAGUUUAGUGCGGCCGAGGAGCAGUUGAUGGACGAGCUGAUCGACGGCCUCUCUGUGGAUGACUCGGUGCUGGCGCCUCACGACACCUUCAACCCGGUCCUGCAACAGUACUACGCCACUCUGCGAUCCAAGCUGUCCGCCAUGAAUGUCUCGGCGGAGAAGGGCAACGCGAAGGCGACCUCGUCCGAAGCAGCGGUACCACAACUGCUGCCCACGUUGAGGGGUACCUCCACCGACUUCUUCGCAGAGGGCAGCGCGGUGUAUGAGGCGGUAUCGGCGCACCGGGCCGCUCUUGCGUCUUGCGCAAGCGCGUUCCCGUACGAAGAUGAAGUGGACGCGCUCUUGCCAGGAAGCAGAGACGCGGGUUGGAAGGGAAAGCCAUGGUACCAAGAUGUGGCGACGACGUCAUCACUGAUAGACCCUCAGGCCGUAUCGCCGCCUUCAGCAUCCCAGGGAUCUGGUGGAGCCCCGUCCACAAUCGCCGCUGCCAUUGCUAGAGGCGUGAGGUGCGGCGGGGAGGCGGACGAAGCGUCUGCCGGCAGCCAUGCCACGUCGGAUGCGAACAGCAUCUCCACCGCUCCACACGACACCAUCAGCGGCGGUCUCUCCUUCGCGAUCACGUCCGUUGACCCAGUGGGUAGUUUCUCCAUGAUUGUGCACCACCCUGCAGUGACGGAGGCACAACUGAACAAGGCGAAGGACGACCUCAGCGAUGUCAUCUGGGAGCUCCUGCGCAGCAGCAUAAAGGACGCCAUCUACCGCAAGUGUAUGGCCUGCAUUAUGGCCCUCCGCCAGUUCUGCGUGAAGCAGGACGACGCCGCCUACUACAACGAUUUCCUGCUCAAAUUGGAGGUGGUUGCACGGCAGUGCGGCCGCGACACCGAUUUCUGGGCCCCAUACGUGGUGGAGCGGAAGGACAGCGCCAACGUGUGGCCUAUCACAGCACAGGAGUGCAAGUCUGCAGCCCUGCCCGACGAUACCGCCGCGAAGGCUUUCCUGCAGAAGGACCGCUUCGACCCCGCCAUCGCCUUCGACGACACGACUGACGAUGAUGACUGGCUGGCAGAGAUUCAGUAGCGGAGCAUCACAGGAGAGAGGAGAGGGAGUAUAGAGCGAAGGACGUGCGGUCUGCUUGCGUGCGUCUGUGCCUAUUCACGCUCUCUCAGCUCCCUUCGCCUGCCCCCGCACGCCGCCUUCCUUCUCCCUUCUCCUUGCCCGUUUCUCUCGCCGCUUCUCUGCAUGUGUGCGUGCGUGUGAGCGUCUCUCAUCGUUUAUCUUCGCUUUCCUCUCUGCCUCACGACGGUGCCCCUGGAUGACGGGGGGACACCUCAGCGCGUGGCGUCAGGGGUCAGCGCCUCACUCUCUGCGGGUGACCCAGGCAGACCCUAACCCUUGCCAGACGCCGAACCGCUUCUGGUGGUGACAGGGUCAGGUGCCUGCGGCGUGGGGAGGCCAGAGCGAUGUAUCGCAACUGAUGUCGGCGCUCAGGUCCUGGAUGGCGUGGCGUCGGAGCGACCUGCGACAGUGCACAGGCUUGUGCCAUCCAUGCGUUGUGCAGAGUGUCUGCGUGACUCAGGCGUGUAUCUCACCCCCGGCCCUCGCAAAUGCUUACUGGUGUGGGGAUCCUGCGCCACCCUAAGAGAGAUGCCCCACGUGGCAACCGGCUCGACGGGGGGGGCGGCUGCGAGGCGGAGGUCGGGCCGAGCUCGACGCAGAGGCCGUACUCCGAUGACUGAGUCGGCGCAUUGCUGUACCGCGCGUGUCCACGGCUGCGUCGCAGCACGCGAUGUGGCCUGUGGCAGGCCGUAUAGAGUGGUGCUCUACUCCCUGCUGUACGGCAGAGAAUGGGCUCGCUGAAACGAACACAGGAGAGCGCAUGCCGGCAGGCUCGUCUGCUUUCUGCGUUCCCUUCCGUCUUCUAUUAUUGCGUUUGGCUGCGUUGAUGCAGAGUGCAUCCAUCAACACACCACCUACGGUGGAAAAAGACG